rnacentral:rRNA from 1 species
UACGGAGGGUGCAAGCGUUGUCCGGAUUUAUUGGGUUUAAAGGGUGCGUAGGCGGCCCGUUAAGUCAGCGGUGAAAUCCCGGGGCUCAACCCCGGAACUGCCGUUGAUACUGGCGGGCUUGAGUUCGGUCGAGGCGGGCGGAACUGGCGGUGUAGCGGUGAAAUGCAUAGAUACCGCCAAGAACCCCGAUUGCGUAGGCAGCUCGCUGGGCCGAAACUGACGCUGAGGCACGAAAGCGUGGGGAGCGAACAGG